CGCGCGGUGGCGCGGCAGGGCUCCAAGCCCUUGGAGGUGUACCUUCCGCCCGGGAGGUGGUUUGACU
rnacentral:tRNA from 1 species